CUCCUCUACACAAGCUUCCCCCCGGGAUUUCGGAGCUGAACUCCCUGUGUGAACUCUUGAAUCACCCCUGCUCUUCUCCCAGCCCCAGUGUAAAGAUAAUGGGAAAGUAAAAGUCCACACGGUUGGAUCUACAUUACUGUGUUCCUGUGCAUUUAAGGCCUAUAUAGGUCCCCAGUGCCUGCUUAGAGGCAAUAUGAACAGCUGUCUCCAGCUCACCCGCAAGCAAGCUGAACAUAAUAAGAAGGUCGUGUUAGUAUCCUGCAUCUAGCAAUGAUUGGGCAGAGGUUUCCAGCUCUUUUUCAUUGGAGAUAAGAAGGGGAACACAUUUACAAAUGGAAGAAUGAAGCACACUGCAGAGAGGAAUCUCCAGAUGUCUAUUAUACAGACAGGGAAUUUGUUGAAAUGCACACCAGGAAUGGAGUCCUGUGAGAAGCCUGAGUGUUUGUGAGAAAACUCCAAGAAAACAAGGCAAGAAUCUUGUGACCUCAGUUUCUUCAAGUAACAAAAUUAUUCUUGGAAUGUGUUUUCAUGAUCCUCUCAGGAGUAACAGAUAAAAGUUGGUUUACUUCAUCUGUUGUUAUUUAUAUGACUCUGGGUGAAGCAUAUUUUGUUAUGUGUGACUCUUCUUUUUUAUUGUACACAUUACUCAGGUGACUCUUCUUAACCUUCAGAAUGUAAGUUGUCUGAUACUCUAAAUAAAGUUGCCUAUUGCAUGAGA